rnacentral:rRNA from 1 species
GUGUCAGCAGCCGCGGUAAUACGGAGGAUGCAAGCGUUAUCCGGAAUGAUUGGGCGUAAAGCGUCCGCAGGUGGUUAUGUAAGUCUGCGGUUAAAGAGUGGGGCUUAACUCCAUAAGGGCCGUGGAAACUACAAGACUAGAGUAGGUUAGGGGCAGAGGGAAUUCCCAGUGUAGCGGUGAAAUGCGUAGAGAUUGGGAAGAACACCGGUGGCGAAAGCGCUCUGCUAGGACAAUACUGACACUGAGGGACGAAAGCUAGGGGAGCGAAUGGGAUUAGAUACCCUCGUAGUCC